AUCAUAAGCGGAGGAAAAGAAACCAACAGGGUAUUGCCUUAGUAACGGCGAGUGAAGCGGCAAAAGCUCAAAUUUGAAAUCUGGCACCUUCGGUGUCCGAGUUGUAAUUUGAAGAAGGUAACUUUGGAGUUGGCUCUUGUCUAUGUUCCUUGGAACAGGACGUCACAGAGGGUGAGAAUCCCGUGCGAUGAGAUGCCCAAUUCUAUGUAAAGUGCUUUCGAAGAGUCGAGUUGUUUGGGAAUGCAGCUCUAAGUGGGUGGUAAAUUCCAUCUAAAGCUAAAUAUUGGCGAGAGACCGAUAGCGAACAAGUACAGUGAUGGAAAGAUGAAAAGAACUUUGAAAAGAGAGUGAAAAAGUACGUGAAAUUGUUGAAAGGGAAGGGCUUGAGAUCAGACUUGGUAUUUUGCGAUCCUUUCCUUCUUGGUUGGGUUCCUCGCAGCUUACUGGGCCAGCAUCGGUUUGGAUGGUAGGAUAAUGACUAAGGAAUGUGGCUCUACUUCGGUGGAGUGUUAUAGCCUUGGUUGAUACUGCCUGUCUAGACCGAGGACUGCGUUUUGACUAGGAUGCUGGCAUAAUGAUCUUAAGCCACCGUCUUGAA
rnacentral:rRNA from 1 species